UGUGAGCUAAGCAGCUCCCAAAGACCUUACCUCCUGAGAUGAUACAUCAGACAUGAGGUUCCACAAGGGAAUUUGAGGAGGAGACCAAUUCAGAACACAGCAGACUCCAGUUAAUAAACUAUGAAAGGCACUGAGGGGGCAACACAAAUGCAUAAGUACAGAGAUGAUGUCGCAUGGAUAGAUUGAAAAGAAACCAAAAACGGCUAAAAGUGGUCCUCCCAACAGGAAAGAUGGAGAGGGAUGAUAGAUGAAGAAUGUAAACCUGCAAGUCAUGGAUAACAUCAAAAUUAUGGAAGAAGAUCGCAAGUAGUCUGAAGAAAUCUUGCAGAUAUUUCAUGUAUCUUUAAGCCACAGGAAGAGAUUUCUAAGGAGCUGGAGUUCCAACAGUCGCUGCACGUGUUCUUUCUCACGAUACCUCAGGCAGGAAAUUCUUCAGUUUGAUAAAUAGCAUACAAUUUUAUGGAUCGUUUAUUGAAGAUAUGCCUUUCCAUAUUUGCCUCAGCAACUUACUAGAAUGUGGAUUCCUCAGUUUUGUUUGGAGUGCCUAGUAGAGAAUAUGAUACCUACUAAGUGGUCAAUUAAUUUGAGAAAUUAGCAGAGAUAAGGAGGAAUGAAAGAAGAAAAAGAGAGAGUGGGGAAAGAAAGGUGAUACCUGUUCUUACCAAUUUAUUUGAGAUCUAAAGAGAGCUGAACAAUGAGACUAUACAGGUUUGAUUUAAACCCCCACCUACUAGGGGCUUGAUAUAAGCUAAUUACUAUGCCAUCCAUUUUACAUAAAUUCUCUUUGAGAUUACUGGAUAAUCCUAACAGGUUAGAAAUAUUAUCCCCAAGUUCAACUGAGAAAACAGAUAUUUUGAAAGGACAAAUAAGUUGUCUCAGCUCAUAAAGCUAAACUGAGCUCGGAAUCUACUGCUUUUUCUGAUCUCCAAACCUCUGCUUAUAACACAGUGCUACUUGAACGUAUGUCAGAAAUGAAACUCAGUUCAACGUAGUUGUAUUUUGCUUAUACACAGUGUCUUCUAGCACAUGAAGAAAAUCCCCACAGCAUGGAAAUCAACUUGUUGAAAUCAGUGUCAAAAUCAUGUGCAGAGCAAUGUGUUCAUCAGUUCAUUUUUAAUGACUCUCACAUACCAACCAAGUCUACUUAAAUAUAAUAGCCCUGUAAAAACAAACUGUGUCUAACCCAGAUUCCUUGUACUAUA